rnacentral:rRNA from 2 species
UACAGAGGGUGCGAGCGUUAAUCGGAAUUACUGGGCGUAAAGCGCGCGUAGGCGGCUUGUUAAGUCGGAUGUGAAAUCCCUGGGCUCAACCUAGGCAUUGCAUUCGAUACUGGCAAGCUAGAGUAUGGGAGAGGAAGGUAGAAUUCCAGGUGUAGCGGUGAAAUGCGUAGAGAUCUGGAGGAAUACCGAUGGCGAAGGCAGCCUUCUGGCCUAAUACUGACGCUGAGGUGCGAAAGCAUGGGGAGCAAACAGG